rnacentral:lncRNA from 1 species
GCCAACAGCAUAGGAAGUAAAACAAAUUCAAAGAAGGCAAGAGAUUAAAGGCACAUGUCAUGGCAAAAACAAAGCAAACAAAUUUUAUUCUCAAAGGGCCACUGCAACAAUAAGGAGCUAACAAGCAAAACACACAUGACAGCAGAUGCACCAGAAGAAAAAAGUUUACUGAAACAAAUGGACGGUUACAGUAAUAUCUUCUUGCAUGCUCAGGCCAACCAGGUUCACCGUGCCUCUUGUUGUUUCUUCUGCAGCAGCUCCUGAAACAUAAGUGGGGACAACAUUAGUUGUGCGUAGCUCCAAGCCCGCCACACAAAAGAAAAGGGACAAACCACAUCGCAAAGGAACUCGAUACCAGACCACCCAGCCGAGGCAGGACUUGUACCACCCCCACCCCACCCCUCCAAAUUCAUGACAGCAAAAACUGCUUUGAUUAAAUUUUCUCACCUCACUGGCGCGCUACGAAGGCUCCAGCCGGCGCCGCAGGGGAUCACGGAGGCGGGCAGACUGGGCAAAUGGAGCUGGGCACACAAAAAGCAGCGGCCAAAGGAGUCAGCUUCCCUGCUUACAGGGGACCCUCAGACAGCUGCGCCACCAUCGCAAAGGGCCCGGGACUGCCGGGCACGGCUGCUCCCUGAAUUACAGGCAGCCCCAUCUCCUACGGCCGAGGGAGGCUCCUUCCUCCCCCAGUUAGGCCACCCCACUAACGGGGCGGUCAACCUACACAGGCUGCCAGCAGGCCACUAACGGCUCACGCACCCAGAGCGCCGACUUACAGGGGGGGACGACACCCCUGGAGCCACAGAGCCCGGUUUUCCCCCCAGCGGCGGGAACAACUCUCAGCCACCAGGCAGCGGGGCAAAACGGCCAAAGGCCGGGCUCAGGAUCCCAUACCCGAUUCUUCCAGUGAGGGCGAAAGCCCAACCCCACAUCUCACAGCCCCGGGCCUCUGAAAGGCCGGGGGCCGCAUCCCGCCUGACUACAGGGGGUCUCUCAGAAAGCACUUCACCAAGCACAGGGGGGCACGCACAGCCCUGCCUACAGGACGGCGCCCCACACCUCACCAUCAUCAAUUUAAGAAGCCCCGUGGAGCACGCAGCUCCACCAGCGCCCUGAAACUAACAGGCGUGCCGCCCGGGCAGCACAACAUCACCACAUCAUUUAGCACACAGAAACAAAACACCUCGAACCCCCAGCGGGAGGUCCACCACACACAAACAAUAGUACCUCAACCCUGCACCCUCUGACGGGACAGGGAGGGGUCAUCCCCACCAACUGGAUGGCUAGAGCAGCCGGCUGCAACGCAAGAGACACCCCACACCUGAUUACAGGGCGGGCUGGCCGCUCGGGGAAUAGGGGACUGGAAAGC